ACACCUCAACUCUUUAUGGUUUUCCAUGAUGAGCUUGGACUCUGGGGGUUUUGCUGGCUCACAGUCGGCUCCUCUGAAAUGAAUCAGCUUACCAGUGUUUGGUGGGUAUCAUGGGUGUGAUAACUAUCUACGCUUGUGGUUUUUCCACCAGGUGACCUUCAGCAGUGGAGGUUCGCUGGAGCUCAUAGAUGUCUCUCCUCAGUGAGGACAGCCCUUUGAAC
rnacentral:misc_RNA from 1 species